rnacentral:rRNA from 1 species
UCUCAUAGGGGAUGGGAAACAUUAUUAGAGUUUUGAUCGCAUGUAAGUCAUAACAAGGUAACCGUAGUGGAAGUUGCGGUUGGA